CAGUUACACCUCUAUAAAAACACCUACAAACACAUCUAUUAGUCCAUCACAAUUAAACACAGACUUAGUAGAGAAGGAUGGAUGCUCCAGGGUAUCAAGACAUGUCGUAUGUUGAUCAUGUCAAAAGGAGACAUGAGGAGAAAGGCUGCCUCUAUGCAUGUUUGUUCGCGUUGUGUUGCUGUUUUUGUUGUUUUGAGACAUGUGAAUGUUGUCUGGACAUUUGCUGCUGCAACUGUGGUUGAGUUCUUGCAUGGAGGAUUGGUGCUGCAAGAAUCUUGUGUUAGUAUUGUACUAUGUUUGGAGAGGGAAUAAUGGGGAUAUGUUAAAAUUAAGAACUUGGAUUUGUUAGAUAUGUAUACCAUAUUUUGUGUUAAUUUUGAAGUUGUUAAAUCAUAAUGUGAUUUUGUGUGGAA